AUACGGAGGGUGCAAGCGUUAAUCGGAAUUACUGGGCGUAAAGCGUGCGUAGGCGGUUUAUUAAGUCAGAUGUGAAAGCCCCGGGCUUAACCUGGGAACUGCAUUUGAUACUGGUAGACUAGAGUAUGGUAGAGGGGGGUAGAAUUCCUAGUGUAGCGGUGAAAUGCGUAGAUAUUAGGAGGAAUACCAGUGGCGAAGGCGGCCCCCUGGACCAAUACUGACGCUGAGGUACGAAAGCGUGGGUAGCGAACAGGAUUAGAAACCCUAGUAGUCC
rnacentral:rRNA from 1 species